UGGGGAAUAUUGGACAAUGGGGGAAACCCUGAUCCAGCAAUGCCACGUGUGUGAAGAAGGCCCUAGGGUUGUAAAGCACUUUAGUUGGGGAAGAAGUUAAUUAUGUUAAAAGCUAAAUUAAUUGACAUUACCUAAAGAAUAAGCACCGGCUAACUCCGUGCCAGCAGCCGCGGUAAUACGGAGGGUGCGAGCGUUAAUCGGAAUUACUGGGCGUAAAGGGUUCGUAGGUGGUUAAGUAAGUCAGAUGUGAAAGCCCUGGGCUCAACCUGGGAACUGCAUUUGAUACUGUUUGACUAGAGUUCACCAGAGGAUUGGGGAAUUUCCGGUGUAGCGGUGAAAUGCGUAGAUAUCGGAAGGAACAUCAAUGGCGAAGGCAACAAUCUGGGGUUGAACUGACACUGAGGGACGAAAGCGUGGGUAGCAAACAGG
rnacentral:rRNA from 1 species